rnacentral:rRNA from 1 species
AGCGAACGCUGGCGGCAGGCUUAACACAUGCAAGUCGAGCGGGCAUCCUUGUGGUGUCCGCGGCAGACGGGUGAGUAACACGUGGGAACGUGCCCUUCGGUUCGGAAUAACUCAGGGAAACUUGAGCUAAUACCGGAUACGUGCGAGAGCAGAAAGGUUUAUCUGCCGAAGGAUCGGCCCGCGUCUGAUUAGCUAGUUGGUGAGGUUAUGGCUCACCAAGGCGACGAUCAGUAGCUGGUCUGAGAGGAUGAUCAGCCACACUGGGACUGAGACACGGCCCAGACUCCUACGGGAGGCAGCAGUGGGGAAUAUUGGACAAUGGGGGCAACCCUGAUCCAGCCAUGCCGCGUGAGUGAUGACGGCCUUAGGGUUGUAAAGCUCUUUUCUCCGGGACGAUAAUGACGGUACCGGAGGAAUAAGCCCCGGCUAACUUCGUG